rnacentral:rRNA from 1 species
AUCCGCGAUAGGUGUGAUGUCCUGGAAUGGUAUCACGCCCAAAGGUGUUCGCACGCCUAAGGAUGGGGCUGCGGCCGAUCAGGCAGUUGGUGAGGUAACGGCUCACCAAACCUUUGACCGGUACGGGCCAUGAGAGUGGUAGCCCGGAGAUGGACACUGAGACAAGGGUCCAGGCCCUACGGGGCGCAGCAGGCGCGAAACCUCCUCAAUGCACACACGUGCGAAGGGGUUACCUCGAGUGCCGCCUGAAGAAGGCGGCUUUUCCAUGGUCUAAAAAGCCUAGGGAAUAAGAGGGGGGCAAGACUGGUGUCAGCCGCCGCGGUAACACCAGCCCCUCGAGUGGUAGGGAUGAUUAUUUGGCCUAAAGCGUCCGUAGCCGGCCGGAUAAGUCUCCCGUUAAAUCCAGCGUCUCAAGCGUCGGACUGCGGAAGAUACUGUCUGGCUAGAGAGUGGGAGAGGUGUACGGUAUUCUGGGGGUAGGGGCGAAAUCCAUUGAUCCCCGGAGGACCACCAGUGGCGAAGGCUGUACACUAGAACACGUCUGACGGUCAGGGACGAAAGCUGGGGUAGCGAACCGGAUUAGAUACCCGGGUAGUCCCAGCCGUAAACGAUGCACG